AAAACCCUUCGAUCUCACGCCACACCGUCCGAUAAUCACCGUCCUUCAAAUAAUCUUUUUUCCUUCAAAAAAACGGAAAGAAAAGAGAUCCUUUGAGAGAGAAAAGAAGAAAAACGGAGGAAAAGGAAAAGAAGGGAAAAAAAUGGCGGAGCACUUGGCGUCGAUUUUUGGGACGGAAAAGGAUAGGGUGAACUGCCCCUUCUAUUUCAAGAUAGGCGCGUGUCGUCACGGUGACAGGUGCUCGCGUCUCCACACCAAGCCCAGCAUCAGCCCUACUCUCCUUCUCUCUAACAUGUACCAGCGGCCCGACAUGAUCACACCCGGCGUCGACGCCCAGGGUAACCCCAUCGACCCCCGCAAGAUCCAAGAACAUUUCGAGGGUUUUUAUGAAGAUUUAUUUGAGGAACUGAGCAAGUAUGGAGAAAUUGAGAGUCUGAACAUAUGCGACAACUUGGCUGACCAUAUGGUGGGCAAUGUGUAUGUUCAGUUUAGAGAGGAAGAACAUGCCGCUAAUGCGCUCAAGAAUCUUAGCGGCAGAUUUUAUGCUGGCCGUCCUAUCAUUGUUGACUUCUCACCUGUGACAGACUUCCGUGAAGCCACCUGUAGGCAGUAUGAUGAGAACACUUGCAAUCGCGGUGGAUAUUGCAAUUUUAUGCAUCUUAAAAGAAUCAGCAGGGAGUUGAGGCGCCAGUUAUUUGGGAGGUCGAGAAGGAGUCGAAGCAGAAGCAAAAGCCCUCACAGGCAUCGUAGUAGCCAUGAUGAGCGCUCUCAUGGUGGGCGUGGCCAUAGUAGGCGGUAUGAUGAUAGGGAUAAUUAUUAUGAUAGCCGUCGCAGAAGGCAUAGGAGUACCAGUCCUGGCCAUCGGAGAGGGCGGAGCAGAAGCCCUGGUGGAAAGAGGAAUCGUAGCCCAGUCCGUGAAGGCAGUGAGGAGAGACGUGCUAAAAUUGAGCAAUGGAACCGCGAAAGGGAACAAGAAAAAAAUGCGAACAAUUUCGAUGAAGAUGCUGCCAAUAAUAACAAUGAGAAUGGUAACAAUGGAUAUGUGCAGAAUGAUGAUAAGCAUUACCAGCAGCUGCAGGAGUAGAAUCCACUACUGGGAGCCCAUUAAUCCUGGUUAAAUCACUCUGCCCGGUGGUGUGCAGGUUCACAAUUCUUUGAUAUGGAAUUUGAAAUUUGUUUUGCCUUUUGCAUUUAGGUCCAUGCCUUUUGCAACUACUGUCAUGGUGCUUGAUUGUGUGCUUGACUACAUCACUAUUUGAGAAAUUUUGAACUCAUGUCCCUUUUUAUUCGGCCUUCCAAUUAGCUUCAUUCUUUUCCUAACUUUUUUUGCAAUUUCUCGUUCUGUCUUUCUUUACCCUACCACAUUUUUCCAUGAUAUUGCUUUCUCUUCAAUUAACUUCAGUCUUUUCUAAGUUUGUAGAAGCUUAAGGCAAUUAAUUAAGAAAGAGAAGUUUGCCUGAAGCUGGGUAUGGAUGGUUAGCUAAGCAAGGUUUUAACAUUUAAGCGAAUCAGAAUACAUAUACUCUGUUUUACUCUCCUCCCCCGAAGCUCUUGUUUUGGCCUUGAUUUCCUGUGUUCUUUCAAUUUUAACGUGACCACUACUAUUUGUUCCAUAUUUUAGUAGGGAAUGGGAGAUCAUAAUUUAUACUAUAAGGCAAGUCUAUGGAAAGAUAUUAUCUUCUGCCUUAAAUUUUUAUCUUAACCUUCUGUUGUGGGCAAAAAUGCAUGCAUUAAAGCUUGUUUGUGUAUGUUUGUGUUCAUAAAUUUACAGUCAGGUACCCUGUGACCACCACACUUCCAGGCUACUGAACGAUCAAAGUUCAUGGUUCUAAAUUGGGUUUUGUUUCCUGUUCAGGUAUUCCUGCUUCUCGGGAUUGAGGCAUUAUUUUAAUAGCAGCUUAUCAUGGAAUUUGUGUACAGGUUGUCCGUUGGGUGGCAGAAAAACUGGUGGUUUAAAGGAUUUCUUGGGUUAAACUUACAGAAGUGAAAAGAAAGUAACCGCAGCCUCUCUCAACUCUACUGCAAGUACAUUGUAGUUGUUGGUGAUCAGAUUGUGUCUUAACAACAAAGCUAGGAAUAGGAGUGUUAUUGUUAGCGGGUCUCUGCUUAAUUUUGCUUGACUUUGGAUUUUAUAUUUAGUUCUUGACAGACGGGUUUGGUUUGGUUUGGUUUUGUUUUGUUGGAUCGUCACAAUCAUAUUUUAUGUUGUUAGGACUUUGAAAUGGAUCUGUUUUGAAAACGAGGAAACCAAGAAGUAUUGGAGCAUAGGUGUUGUUGAAUCGAAUUAUGAUAUGACUUAUUAGCACACCAAAAAAAUUAUUGGUUUAAUAUAUAAACUUCAGAAUUCUGGAUUUCUUUUAUUUAUUUUCCCUCUUUUGAACCUUGUGCAUUUGGCAAUGAUUCAAUGAAGGCAGCUUUUAGAUCAAUAUAUAGGAAAGGAGUUUUUAUUUUCGGCUUAGACUCGUAGAAAAUAGUUCAGCCUUCAAUUUA